rnacentral:rRNA from 1 species
CACACGACUCUCGGCAACGGAUAUCUCGGCUCUCGCAUCGAUGAAGAACGUAGCGAAAUGCGAUACCUGGUGUGAAUUGCAGAAUCCCGCGAACCAUCGAGUCUUUGAACGCAAGUUGCGCCCGAGGUCUUUCGGCUGAGGGCACGCCUGCCUGGGCGUCACG